GGGGGCACUGGGGGCUGCCUGCUGUGUCCGGGCCGUAACUGGGGUGCUGCGGGGUCCGUCUCCGGCAGCAUUGAAGGCAGCGAUGCUGACCCAAUAGGAGGUGUACCCCGUCAGGUUCUUCAGCUUCACCCCGGUUUCGGGCAGGAAGAGCGUCUUCACCCGUGCGCUCUCAUUCUGCCGCUGCGCCUCCCAGAAGUGGAUCUUGUAGCCCUGGAUGUCCCCGUU
rnacentral:lncRNA from 1 species